AGCUCAAAUUUGAAAGCUGGUACCUUUGGUGCCCGCGUUGUAAUCUCGAGACGCGUUUUCCGCGCGGCGCUAUGGACAAGUUCCUUGGAACAGGACAUCGUAGAGGGUGAAAAUCCCGUACUUGCCAUGGAUGCACCGUGCUUUGUGAUACGUGCUCAAAGAGUCGAGUUGUUUGGGAUUGCAGCUCAAAAUGGGUGGUAGACUCCAUCUAAAGCUAAAUAUCGGGGAGAGACCGAUAGCGAACAAGUACCGUGAGGGAAAGAUGAAAAGCACUUUGGAAAGAGAGUUAAAAGUACGUGAAAUUGUCGAAAGGGAAGCGCUUGAAGUCAGCCAUGCCGCUCAGGACUCAGCCUGGCUUUUGCUUGGUGUACUUCCUGGGUAGCAAGUCAGCAUUGGUUUGGACCGUCGGAGAAGCAUGGCAGGAAUGUGACGCCCUCGGGCGUGUUAUAGCCUGCCAUUGGAUACGCCGGUCUAGACCAAGGAACGCAGUGCGCCUUACGGCGGGUCUUCGGACACCUUCGCACUUAGGAUGCUGGCGUAAUGGCUUUAAGCGGCCCGUCUUG
rnacentral:rRNA from 1 species